AUUGAACGCUGGCGGCAGGCCUAACACAUGCAAGUCGAGCGGAUGCAGCGAGCUUGCUCCUGGAUUCAGCGGCGGACGGGUGAGUAAUGCCUAGGAAUCUGCCUGGUAGUGGGGGAUAACGUCCGGAAACGGGCGCUUAUAUCGCAUACGUCCUGUGGGCGCAAGUGGGGGAUCUUCGGACGUCUCGCUAUCAGAGGAGCCAAGGUGGUAUUAGCUAGUUGGGGGGGUAAUGGCCUACCAAGGCUGCUAUCCUUAACUGGUCUGAGAGGAUGAUCAGUCACACUGGAACAGAGGCACGGUCCAGACUCCGGCGGUAGGCCGCAGUGGGGAAUAUUGGGGGAUGGGGGAAAGCCUAAUCCAGGCAUGCCGGGGGUAGGAAGAAGGACUUCUGAUUGGAAAGCACUUUAAGUUGUGAGGUAGGGCAGUAAGUUAAUACCUUGCUGUUUUGACGUUACCAACAGAAUAAGCACCGGCUAACUUCGUG
rnacentral:rRNA from 1 species